GUACUAGAAUGACAGGAGGGAUCACGGAUCCUACACUAACCAGGAGGGGACUGGAUCUUACACUAACCAGAAUCUCACUAGAUAUUUUCAGGUGUACUGCAAUAUGGUACUCUCUGACGCCAUCAUGGAAGACGAUGCCGUACGUUGCCGGGUGCUUUAUAGUCAAAGGUUCAAAGGUGGCAAGUCCGAUCCUUUAAUCUUCCUAUACAAUGCUGAAGCGCAGAUGUCAGGAUGGUGCUCGCCACUCCACAAACAUCACUGAAUAGCCCAAUCAGAGGGGAAAAAACAAAUUCCAAGUUGAUCUUUGCAGAAACUUCUCCAGAGCCACUACCGAUCUAGUCUCCAGAGUCUAAUUUGCUGAUAUUAAGACACCCUAAUGAGAUGGUAUCUACAAUAAUCACCUACUGGCUUGAGAAUACCUGAGAAAGCAGCACAAAGAAAAAUAUCUCUCCCUGAUCUGAAUCCUGGAUCUGCUGUAAACACGCCUGCUACCCGGUGACCGUGGGAUCCAGAUGAACCUGAAGAGUAUCUCCUUAAACAGCGGAGAACUGUAAUGCAGGCCCCUCGUUUUAAAGCUGGGUUUUCUCACCUAUUAAAUUAAAAGCAGCAGCAAAGGAGCUAAGAUAAGGCAAUCUCCAGUCCAAAUACAAACAAGAUAGCCAUUUAUUCCUCACUGCCUGCCUUCCUGUCUCACUUGACUUCUCAUCACAGAUGUUGCUUGUAACCAGGCAACCACAUAAAACAUCACGUAUUUAUUGUAAUUAAAUAUUUUCCCUUUUCAGGUGUUCCUUAAUAGCAGGAGGAAACAAUGAUGCCUCACAGUCUGAUGUUGCCACUCUGAUGUGCACUGAUGAGAAUCUGAAGGUUGUAUCUAGUAAGGAAACUAAGGCAAGAUAAGAAGAAAUAACCCAAGUGCAUGUGACUACUGUAUGGCCAAGUCAGAUUUGAAACCCUUACCUGUCACAUUCCAAAGUUUAUGGUCUCAAUCAUCAUAACCUGAAUGUUAACAGUAUGUGUGUCGUUGGGAAAUAAAAAGCUCACA